GUCAGAUCAGUGGUCAUGGUUGAUAUGCAUGGACUAAAAAACAAACUUGAAACCAUUUUUCUCAGAUUCACUGUGUGUGUAGACUGCUCCUUGUCUUUUCUAGGGCAGUAGUUCAGGUGGCUGUUUGUGUAGACUGCUCCUUGUCUUUUCUAGGGCAGUAGUUCAGGUGGCUGUGUGUGUAGACUGCUCCUUGUCUUUGUAGGACAGUAGUUCAGGUGGCUGUUUGUGUAGACUGCUCCUUGUCUUUUCUAGGGCAGUAGUUCAGGUGGCUGUUUGUGUAGACUGCUCCUUGUCUUUUCUAGGGCAGUAGUUCAGGUGGCUGUGUGUGUAGAUGCUGUUUGUCUUUGUAGGACAGUAGUUCAGGUGGCUGUUUGUGUAGAUGCUGUUUGUCUUUGUAGGACAGUAGUUCAG
rnacentral:lncRNA from 1 species